rnacentral:rRNA from 1 species
UUUAUGGAGAGUUUGAUCCUGGCUCAGGAUGAACGCUGGCGGCGUGCCUAAUACAUGCAAGUCGAGCGAACGGACGAGAAGCUUGCUUCUCUGAUGUUAGCGGCGGACGGGUGAGUAACACGUGGAUAACCUACCUAUAAGACUGGGAUAACUUCGGGAAACCGGAGCUAAUACCGGAUAAUAUUUUGAACCGCAUGGUUCAAAAGUGAAAGACGGUCUUGCUGUCACUUAUAGAUGGAUCCGCGCUGCAUUAGCUAGUUGGUAAGGUAACGGCUUACCAA